GAGCAAGUUAAUCUGAUAAUUACAGUCAAGAGUUUGUAAUGUACAAGAAAUGUUUUAAGCACACCAAUUAAGCCAAACUGGAAACCAAAAGUACAUUUAUCAAUUAAUUAAACAUUGUAAUUUGAUUUCUCUGGUAAAACCUCUUUAUGCCUGGCAGAGCGCAGUCACCGUUCUGCAGCUUGACCAUUCAGCUCCAGGAUGGGGUUGUUUUGGUUUCCAGAGCAGGCAGCAUCAGGCUGAUGACAGCGCUGGCCCUGGGGCUCUUAAAUCUAGGAGUAUUUUUCUCACUGUUUUGCUUGUGCUCUCUAGAGCUUUCCUAGCUGUUUUCAUUCCAUUUACUUAUUGUCUCAUCUCAGUUCUUUUCUACUGGGUGUGGAUUUUGCUUAAUUCUUUCUGGGUCUGACUGGGGCAUCUACCCACACAUCCUGCUACACUGAUGGCAAGCAGUUCUCAUGCCUUUGCCCCCACCUCUGAGCAACUCAGGUGGAGAACGUGGUAGCUCGACCUCCCUGGAGGGGAGCACUGAGGUUUGUCUGUAAUGAUGUCACAUUCUCUGAAAGGGGUGAGCCUGCCAUGUGACAGAGAGCAGAUUUGGGGAGCAGUUGUUCUAAAACCAAAACCAAGUGGCUCUCAUCAGCUGGAUUGCUGCGGAGGCUCCUGGGCCCCGUUGUAAGGACCCCAUGGAGUGUACAAGGUCUCAGUGAAGGACAGAACUUCUCUUUUGUGUUGAGCUGUCUGGAGGUUAUUUCUGACAUGCUCCCAAAGCUCCAUAUCCAAAGUUCUCGUUUGUGAGAACCAAGGAUUAUAUUUCACUAUCUCCUGCAGCACUUUUUACUUUUUUUUGGGGGGGGUACUGGGGAUCGAACUUGGGUCCUUGCACUUGCACAGCAGACGGCGAAACCACUGGGCUAAAUCCCCGGCCCUCUGCAGCACUUUUUGAUACUGCUGGCCAGCACCAUGCAUUUUGUUUGUUUAAAAUGGGUGUAGAUCAACUAGAUGUAAUGUUGCUCUCUUGCCAAAAGUGCUUAUCAUGUGUUUUAAUCCCAGUUGAUAUCCUACUCAGGUGGGAAGGACUCACUUUACUUUGUCUCUCCUCAGGCGUCCCAAGUUGGUCACGUGAGGGCCAAGCAUCAUCGAUAUACCCUGUACACUCUGAGCAGGCGAUCCCUCAUGGGCUCAUGCGGUCACGCUGGGUGCCAGUUAUCAGAGACCCCUGCAGCGGGUCCUGAUCUCCUGCUUGGAGCAGGGCUAGAUUUUACUCAAGACUACUACUUAGAAGUGGCUAGCAGUUUAAACCUGAUGUUCUCUUCAACAUCAUUUGAUAAACUUUGCUUGAUCCAAAGGAAAACUGGAUGAGAAAACCGACUCUCUAAAUUUUGGGUUAGUAAUUUUUUUUUUUUUUACUUUUACAUUUAUUUUUCUUAAAACCAAAUGCUGGGGUAGCAUAAAGACUAACCAACAGCUCAGACAUUCUUUGGAUUUAAUGCAUAAUUACAAUAGUCACAUGCACAUCCUAAAAUUAAAAAGUAAAACGUUAUUCCUAAAAUCAUGUGUCAGUAAAACUUGCCUGGAACUGGUCAUACAAUAUACACAACAUGUAUACUACUUUGUAGCACAAAAUUUCUCAGAACACACAUGAAAAAUAGAAUAAUUUAUAUUUAUAAAAAGUACUAUUUUAUGAACAAAAUAACUGAAACCCAAUAUUAUAGGACAACUAAUGCCCUGUUUCUCAAAAUCCUUUACAAAAGGAGGUAGAUUCAUAAAUUAACAGUUCAAGGUCUGGUAUUUUAAUGUUACUUUUUUUUCUUCUUUUGCUUUUUGUCUGCUUCCAGUUUAAGCUUAACUUCUUCAGCUGUAAGGGCUCCAAGUUUCUUAUUCUUUGCUUUCUUAACCUUUUCCUUGAUGGUAGCCACAUCAAUUUUAGUUUCAGUAGACGCUUCCUUAGGUUUUGCAACAGGCUUUUCUUUAG
ensembl:lncRNA